UACGUAGGGGGCAAGCGUUGUCCGGAUUUAUUGGGCGUAAAGCGCUCGCAGGUGGUUCGUCGCGUCGUGCGUGAAAGACCCCGGCUCAACUGGGGAGUGUCGUGCGAUACGGGCGAACUGGAGGCCAGUAGGGGGAUGCGGAAUUCCGGGUGUAGUGGUGGAAUGCGUAGAGAUCCGGAGGAACACCAGCGGCGAAGGCGGCAUCCUGGACUGGUCCUGACACUCAUGAGCGAAAGCGUGGGGAGCGAUCCGG
rnacentral:rRNA from 1 species